UCAGAUCGAAACUCAUACAAAUUUAGAGAGGAGAAAGCUCACUCUUUGAACAAAGUUCAUUCAAUAAACUGGAAAAAGUCCUUUUUACAAGAAAAUCAACAACUAUUUAUAGCCUAAAGUCUAGUAGCCGAAUGGACAGAUUCAAGACUUAAUAUUUAAGCAAACAUUGAACUAAAUUCCAGCUUUAAUUCAUGAAUGAAGACCAAGGUAGAUUCGGCGGAAUGGAGAAUAAAAAUUAGCUCCUCAAUUAAGCAAAUGAAUCUUGAAAGUUCUUGGCAGCAACUAAAUUCGAUUAAUGAUCUUAAUUUGGCGCAUUUGUGAAGCAACUCUUGUUGAAACAUCACCAGCAUUUAAGGAGAAUUUGAGCAACCCUUGGAAGUGUGAAUAGAAGGUUUUGUAAAGCCUCAUGGUGUGAACAAGCUGAACCAAACAGCCAAGGUGUAAACAGAUGGUGUGAAAAGAAUUAUGUUGCUUUGAGGAGAGGAUCGACCAUGUCUUGGAAAGUUGAAUGGUUACUGUCUCUUGGCCGAAUAGUUGCCUUAGGGAGAACCAAAAUUAAUCAGCUUCAAUGCAUUAUACCAGCUGCACAUGCAUAUUCACAUUCAUUGAAUCUACGUGCAUGCAUCUAGCCAAUGAAUCUUCAAAUUCGGCUGCACCUAAAUAAAAACACAAGAACUUAAUUAAUUCAAACAAAUUCAGCUGAACUAAAUUCAAACAUAAUGUGAACACUCUAAUUGACAUAGUGACAAAUUAAAUAUUAACUAAACAAGACACAUUAAUUAUGCUGAACAUAACUAAUUCAUGUUUUAAUUUAAGACGUACUUAAUAAAAUUAAGACACAUUUAAUUUAAUUAAGACAAGACAAAUUAAACACUUGUACUAAUUUUGGACACACUAAUGAGCUGUAGUAAACUUCAACAAAUGCUUAAUUUAAAUGUCCAAAAAUUCCAGCAAAUAAAAUUAAUAAGCUGAAAAGAAUUUAAACCGAGCUCAAACGAGCUGAAAUAAGCUCAUGUGAGCUGAAAUAAAAUUAGGUGAGCUGAACCAAGGACAUGUCCGGGGCAGGGUCGUAUCAUCUAUGUUUAAUAAACUAAUAUAAUGUAAUAAUAUUUUUGGUAUUAUUACUAAUUUAAUCCCUGAAUGAUUAAACAUACACUAUAUAAGUAUUGUGUCAAUUAAUUUAGUUGUUUUCCUUCAUUCAUAAUGCAUGAGAAACAUAUUCAUGAUUUUACUUGCAUGAGUAAAUAGAUCAAAAGCACAGAACAUCUUUAGUAGAAUUAAAUAAUUACAGCUACAAAAAUUAAAUCAUUCUAAAACCAACAAAAUUAAGUAAUCAUUAUUAUAUUAAAAGCACAUAAACUUAGUUGUAAUCAUAUUUCUUGAAUUGAAAAAAAAUAAAGAUUGAAAGGAAAGAGAAUUGCUAAGCCACUUCUAGUUGAUCUCCAUGGCACAACUCACUUUGCUCCUCAUUUGUUCUUUUCUUCUUGUUGUGACUACCAAGCUUUAAAGCUCUCAAUAUUGCCUAAAGUGGCUACUCUCAAAACCUUGCAAAUACUCUCUCAAAUGGAAGUGAAACGAGAGAGAACGAGAGAACAAAUGCCUCUUUAUUUAUACUAGUGAGGAGCUCAUUGAGUUUUCUAUUUUAAGCAUGAUAAUCCCCCAUUUUUUCUCUCAUGCAUGGUC
rnacentral:lncRNA from 1 species